CUGGCGAAUGCCGGUGGAACUACAUACCCUACUGGUCGCGGGUUCGAAUCCCGCCAUCGCGCCCUGCGAUGUAGCUCAGAUGGAUAGAGCAGUUGGCCCCAAUGUUUCACCAAACCCUUGUCGCCGGGAC
rnacentral:Y_RNA from 1 species